CCGCGUUAGUGCUAAGGUAGCAUAAUAAUUAGUUUUUUAAUUGGAAAAUGGAAUGAAUGGUUUCACUAAAAUAUAGCAUUUACACUAGUAAGUGAAAUUUUAAUUUAAGUGAAAAUUCUUAAAAGACCCACUUAGACGAGAAGACCCUAUGAAUCUGGUAAACCUAAGAAUAUGCCUACUAUAGUUAAUUGUUUAUUUUUUGGGGAAAAAAUUAAUAAAAAUAUUAAUAAAUACUUAUUUAACUUAAUCCUCUAGGAAACAUGAAGAAGAUCCUCUAGGGAUAACAGCAUUAUACUUUAAAGAGUUCUUAUCAGAAUAAGUGUUUGUGACCUCGAUGUUGAAUUAAAUACCCCCGUGUGUGUAGGAUCUCACUGGAGGCGGUCUG
rnacentral:rRNA from 1 species